UAUAUACAUGUAUAUAUAUAAACAAGUCUAAAUUGAAAACUACGUUCAAACCUAUAAUUGCGUUGGAUAAAAACCGCAAUUUUUAUACGUGUGCAUGUAAAACAAAUUUCGUUGUAGAAGGGUCUAAAUACAGCACAAACAACAUUUCCCAAAAGACCAAAAAAGUGAAAAAGUAUAUUUAAACAAAACGCAUUUGACUAACAGGUCGAACAACUGAUGUUCUUUAACCCUGCUGACUGCCAUUGGCGAUUGCCAAAU
rnacentral:lncRNA from 1 species